ACAGAUGGCAGUAAACGUAAAAGGCGUUUACAUACGCAAUAUCUAAUACUGUGUAUAUCAUUAUGAAGUGUUAAUUUGAAAGGAAAGAGACAAAGCAGUAGAGUGACAGGUACGAAAGAACGUUGUAUUAUUGAACGGUCCAUAAGAAGAAAUAAGAAAGCAAUUGUUUCACGAGAAACACGUAGAUUUUAAUUGCAUAAAAAUGCCGAAUUUAUCUAGUAUAUCCAGCUAUCCAUUAAAGGUAAUUUUUGCGAUUCAUCUGGUUCUUGUAACAUGGGGUAUUCAAGGAUGUUGGUGCCCAAAAUCUGCAAUGAUGUACAAUUUACUAUUUUUCAUUUGCUUACUUUGGGCUGUGCAUAACAUUGAAUCAGAUGAACCAUUACAAUUUGCUCUCUUCAUAAACGUUUUAUCAAUAUUUUUUGACAUAGUGACUUUAUCUGUUUACUAUCCAAUCGGUCUAGCAUAUGCGUCUGAUAAGUUUAGUGCAGCGUUUAUGAUAAUAAACCUGGUCGUGCGUGUUGUCACGAGUAUAUAUCUAUUGCGGAUAGGACAAGCAAGAGGUGGAAGUCUUGCUACGAUGUUUACACCCUGUCCUGCCAUGGGUCAGUAGUCCAUAGGAUACAGAUGUGCCUUGUUAGCCUUGUAUUGCUUCUACAAUUUUCUGCUUUACGUAUAACUCGACAGGAUUACGAGGACAUAUCCCAUCCGAUACCUCAAAAUUCUGAUUUCGUUGGAAUUUAAAUUAUUUUGAUGGUAUAUGUUGUAAGAACUUAUAAUGUUCGAUCUUGGAUUUGUUUUUUUGUGGGCGGAUCAUUUAACAUAAGCUUAUAUGUACAAUGAUAUAAAUCUCACAUGAUAUAUUUUCAUUAUUUCUUAUAUUACAAAACAACGAACAAACAGAGACAUAAUUAAAUAUUAUCAAAGAUACGUACCAGUGUGAACAUAAUCGAUCAGAUUUUAAAUAGAACAAUAGUGCCAAUUUAUAUUUUAAUGAAUUAUACUUUCGAUCAAAUAUUUCGAUGUUUUAUAAAAUUUCGUUCUUUACGUCGAUCCGUUAAUAAUAACUAAUGUUGGCACAACAUACGUUUAUUGUUUCUUAUCGUAAUCAUUUGUUACGUGCAUGCAUAUGAUCUAACAUAAACAAGUAAUAUUGUUAAAUCGCGUUAAAUGUUUCUAUUAAUUAUAUAUGAAAUACUCCGUAAUUAUCACAUACUUAUGUAUAUAUGAUAAAUUAUAUAUAUACAAACAGAUUUAAUAUAUUAUAGAUCUAUUCUGUACGACUACUUUUAUCUGCAGUUUGCAAAUAAAAUUCUUUAUAACAAUGUAACAGAACGUUUAGAAAAAUUAUUUCUAUCUCGCAUGCUUAUCUAUGAAAAUGGAUGAAGAUAAAAGAAAAAAGAAAAAGAAAAAGAAAAAGAAAGUAAAGGUGGGGGAAUAUAAAAAAGAACAUACGUACGACGUACGUACAAUGUACACACAUGCAUAUAUACAUACAUACAUACAUAUAUGCAUAUAUAUAAUUCUACAUCAUACGAUAGAAAUUUUGAACGUGGCGCUAACCGAACGGUGGCGCCUAAGCGUCGGCCGCCAGAGGUCGCCAGGUUUGAGGUAUAAAAUCGCUGUCCGUGAAGCGGUUCCCUUCAGUAGUGUGCGUGACCGUACCGGGAGGAGGGUGGCUCCGCGCGCGGCCGCACCGCGAAACCGUGCCCACUCGCCUCGACCACGGACAUCCACGCUCGUUUUCUCGUAUUGUGAAAACAUGGCGGCCAGUGACGACGAGCCGAUGCAUCUCUACGAGGUCUUUCAAAAUUGCUUCAACAAGAUCGCCAACAAGCAACCCG